rnacentral:rRNA from 1 species
UGCCAGCAGCCGCGGUAAUACGUAGGGGGCAAGCGUUAUCCGGAUUUACUGGGUGUAAAGGGUACGUAGGCGGUUUACUAAGUCAGAUGUGAAAGCCCGGAGCUCAACUUCGGGACUGCAUUUGAAACUGGUGAACUAGAGUACAGGAGAGGUAAGUGGAAUUCCUAGUGUAGCGGUGAAAUGCGUAGAUAUUAGGAAGAACACCAGUGGCGAAGGCGGCUUACUGGACUGUAACUGACGCUGAGGUGCGAAAGCGUGGGGAGCGAACAGGAUUAGAUA